CAGACAUCGUUCCGGCAGUCUGACUGACGUCUUGUUUGCGUACAGUGUGCUGUCUGCUUUCGUCUUCACUAGCUUUAACUCUUCGACCUCGUAGUUUUUAUCGAUUUUUGGCUUUUAAUCUAGUCAUUUUACAAGCAACGCUAAGAAGGGAAAGAAUGGAGUAUAUUGUAAAACAAUAAAACGUUUUGUCACAAUUUCAAUUCCUUAAGGAACUAUUACAAGAUCGUAGGACGGUAGGAGCACAUGGCUCAGAAAUAUCAUCGGGAAAGCACACAGUACGAUUCGUUUUUGUAGGUUUCUUUGUGUUGAUGGAUUAGUCACCCUAGAGCAAUUACGAGUAUUUGGAUCAUAUACAAUCCAAUCCACAAAUUAAUGUUGAAGUUGUUGUGAAAUAUGCAACUAGCCCCUAGCAGAUGAGUUCGUUGGAACUACCUAGCCAAAGGUUCAGACUUUUUAUUUCAAGAUUUAAGUCCUGAGGCUGCGAUAUCCUGAAUUAGGUCGGGAAGGUGCCUUAUGUUGUAGAAUGAAAAAUAUUUCACCUUGUCCUUGCCAUUAGCUUCUGUAGUCAACUAUGCUUCUAGGUUCUAACGUGGACUCUUCACCUUACCCAUACAAAUUCCUUAGAGCUACACUUUCGAGGGGCAGUAGAUGAGUGAGGAGCUUCUCUACCAUACGGAGAUGAUUGUGUUGUCUCUACCAUUGUCUUCACAAUAGGAUAUGACAGAUGCCACGGCGAUGCCUUCAUUAGUGACUACAAUGCCUUUGUCCGGAUUCUCAGAAAGUUCUCCUGUCUGAGGUUCCGUAUUUGUCAUUAGGUACUACGUCGUCAUCUGGCAUCACCGUGGCAUCUCCACCUUAUUAUUUACCUUACUCAUAAUAACAGCCAUCUUGCGCAAUUUCUUUAAACACGAUCAUAUCCUUGUAGCCUUGUCGUCUCUUCUACUACUCUGCUUUAAUAACCAAGUUGACACAGAGGAGAGCGAGAUAACACAUUUUAACUGACCGUUGCUUGAAACGAUUUUAGGUCAUCCACUGUUAUACCCGGACCACAGUGUAUGAACGCAUCGCUUCCGGGAAGUAGCUACUGCAGUGACCAGUGCGGGCUGAAAUUGGCGACAGACGUAUAUACCAGUUACAUCCUGAAGCUGAUUUGACUGAAAACGGCAUGUUGGAUUCCUUUCCAUUGAGUUCGAAACAUUGAUCUUAUAAAAUUACUGGACAAACGA